GGGCCUGUCGUUCAAUGGUAGGACAUGUGGCUGGCAGUCACAGGACGAGAGUUCGAUUCUCUCCAGGUCCACCA
rnacentral:tRNA from 1 species